CAUCUUCGAGGCCAGGUGUAAUUCCUGACCGGCGGUCACAGUCCGCAAGCCUUUUUCAAAGAAAGGCACGAACCGGUGGAAUCCCGGUACCGACGGUACAGUCCGGAUGAGAGAAGAG
rnacentral:ncRNA from 1 species